UCAAAUUCCCAGCAAUCCUCCAGCCUCAGCCUCCUGAGUGCUGGGAUUAUAGCUCUGCACCACCACGCCCAGCUGUAUACUUCAUAGUUCUUCCAGUAGUUACCAAGACACACCUGAGGUAUGACUUUGCUAGCUAGGGACAAAAUUGCAAUCUUUCUAUGCUUUAGUCCAAAUGGACUUGGUAUUAAGUAAAAUUUUAUUACAUUGGAUAAUAAAAUUAGAGACAGCAAUGAAAAUCAGAGCUAUAGCAACAUGAAUGGAGUUCCAAGGUGAUUAGUGCCAAGCAGGUACCCUGAACAUCCACAUGAAAUCCUACCCUCCCUUUUGAGACAAGUUACCUGGCCCCUCACUCCCACAGUUAACUCCAUGUCACUGUCCAUAAAGCUACAUUUGUGGUGAUUUUUCCCUCCAGAUUCUUUUGUUUUCUACUUUGCAAUGUAGAAAAAAAAACAAAAACAAAACUCUUCAGCUUUUUCUGUUGCCUAGGUGUCUUCUUCCUAAUAACUGCUAUUUUAAAUCUUAUCUCUUACAAAAACUAAAAAUUGGUGUGGAAAAGACAGCCCACAGAAGUUACAUUAUUGUCCACCAGAAUGAAACUCACAUUUCUUUCACUCUUUCAUGUUAAAACUGAAAGGCAUAGGAAAGCAAAAGCACAACAGUAUGUUUUUAUUUAUACCCCCUCUUAUAUUUAAAAUCCACCAAAGAAUCACGAUACAAUCAAAUACUCAUUUAAAAAGUAUUCACUAACAGAAUUGAAAAAUAACAACUUACUUUUGAAACUGUUAAUGUAGCCAUUCACUGGCUUCUUUCCCCAGCACAGCACUCAGCACUGAGACACUGUGCUGGUCCGCUUGUAGUCACUGUUACAAAACACCUGAGGAGAAGAAUUUAAAGGGGGGACAGUUUUCUCUUGGGCUUGGCUUGAUGAUUUUCAGUCCAAGGUAAACUGGCUGUAUUGCCUUUAGGCCUGUGGUGAGGCAGGAGCAUCCUGACGGAAGAGCCUGUUGGAGGAAAAGAGUGGGAGGGGCUGGGGACCAGAUUCAGUCCUGAAGGCCAUCCCCGUACUCUGUGACCUGCUCCUCUGCUGGUUCUACCUCUAGUCUCCAUCUCCUCCAACAGUGCAGUCACAUUGUGAUCUCAUCAGUGGAUUAACCCACCUAAUGGGGUGACAGCCCUCAGGAUCCAGUCACCUCCCCAAGACCCAUCAGCUGGUGACCAAGCCUUCAUGCAGCUCCUGGAUUUGGGGGAAUAUUUCAAAUCCAAACCACGAUGGAAGUAAGAAGUACUACUGCAUGUUCCCUAUGAUACUGAUGAGUUCUCACCUGAACUACCCACUUACCCACCCUAAGGCAGUAGGGUGAAAGAUGGGCAUUUGUUGCUCUGUCAACAAGAACCUGCAUUAUUGGAGACCAAACUGGGAGAAAAGCAGCUCUUCAAAGAAAAAUAACUGAUUUGUUUUUUGUACUUACAAAUACCUUAACUGGUAGAGAAUGAAUUUUGUACUUUACCAUUUUGCCUUUAGCUUUUGUAUAUGAAUUAGAGGUCGAUGGAGAUCCUGCCUCCCCAAUGGAUCAGCCCGUUCAUACAUGACUGGUUUUUUUCAUUUUCUGUUGUACACAAGUAGAAUUUUCCAUAUUCCAAGGAAGUUGCAUUAAAAAGUACAUUGAAACAUUAAAA